GUAGUUUAGCUUAGCGGUAAAGCACCUGACCUGUAAACCCAGGUUUGUGAGUUCGACUCUCAUGACUGGCA
rnacentral:tRNA from 1 species